rnacentral:rRNA from 1 species
CGUGUAGGCGGUACAGCAAGUUGGAUGUGAAAGCUCCUGGCUUAACUGGGAGAGGUCGUUCAAAACUGCUGAACUAGAGUACGGUAGAGGAAAAUGGAAUUCCGGGUGUAGUGGUGAAAUGCGUAGAUAUCCGGAGGAACACCAGAGGCGAAAGCGAUUUUCUGGACCGAAACUGACGCUCAGACGCGAAAGCUAGGGUAGCAAACG